CCGACCUUAGCUCAGUUGGAAGAGCACAAGACUGUAAUCGGUUACUUUACCAAGCCAUCUUGGGGUCGCCUGUUCGAACCAGGCAGGUCGGA